AGUGGAUCACAGCUGAGUCAUCGCACUUCAAACAGAAUGAAAGCUCCUGAGAUGAGCACAUAGAAUGCCACCUGAUUCCUCCAAACUUUUCAACCCUGACACUGCAGCUUCAAAAAGUGAAGAAAACAGGACAAAAUUCUCUGGCUUUUUAACACUGACCUUAUUUUCCUUCUGAAGAGCCUGCAGGGACCAGUAUGCCUUCAGUAGUGACUGGGGAGAAGAUGAAGGGAGAGAUUUGAGAUAUACCAGAGGUUUCAGCUAGAGAACAAGUAGUUUCUUCAUUGGAUUGUUCACUUUGGAAAUGAUUUACACUAGCUGUUCUUGUGCUUUAAAGGACUGAACUAUUAAAUACAUUCUGUAUGAUGCUACAAGACAAUCAGGCUUAAU